rnacentral:lncRNA from 1 species
UCCCAAGUAGUUGGGACUACAGGCCCACACUACUAUACCCAGACCAACAGAUAUUCUAGCAUAUAAGAAAUGUGAUGCUCUCUGUACAUUGAAGAGUUGGUCUAAUAUUUGGCCUGGUGGAUACAGAAAUUGCCUGUCUGCUCCGCUCUGGUUGAAGAAACCAGUCCGACUGUCUCUGAGGCUAUGGAGCAGUCCAUCAAGAAUGAAAGCCCUCGGCUGGCACGUUGGCUCACACCUGUAAUACCAGCGCUUUGGGAGGCUGAGGCAGGUGGAUCACUUGAAGUCACGAAUUCGACACCAGCAUGGCCAACAUGGUGAAACCCUCUCUCUACAGAAAAUAGAAAAAUUAGCUGGGCCUAGUGACGUGUGCCUGUAAUCCCAGCUACUCAGGAGGCUGAGGCAGGAGAAUCACUUGAUCCUGGGAGGCAGAGCUUGCAGUGGGGAGCUGAGAUCACACCACUGCCUUCCAGCCUGGGCGACAGAGUGAGACUCUCUCAAAAAAAAAAAAAAAAAAAAAAAAAAGAAAGUCCUCAUGAUGGCCUCAAGCACAUUGGUCCCUGAAGAGAGUCAAGGAAGGCCCACUUUACUCUGCACUGCAAAGCAGGCAGGUGGACAGGAUGAGAAGUGGAUUCAGUGAGAGGCAUUGACUCAAAGGAUUUUCUGCCUAAUGGUCGGUUCAGCAGAAGAUUAAACUGAGCACAGCAUCCUGUUCCCUCAAACUAUCUGAUAGGAUCUCUCUCUCUCUGCCACCCAGGCCAGAGCGCAGUUGAUGCAGGUCAGGGGAGCCCCCCAGUGGAGCAUAGUGUGUCCAGAACUGGUGGGUUGUUGGUCUCACUGACUUCAAGAAUGAAGCCACGGACCCUCGG